CUCCCUUUUAUAGCUCUCACUCCACAAAAUAUGAAAUUACAGAGACAGCACGAUCAGGAAUAUAGAUCACAUUUCAGCUUCCCAUCGUGUUGUCAAGGAACUCCCAGUCUUAAUUGAAUGGAUUUUUCUCCACUGCUGCACAGCUAGAGCUUUGCAAACACUGGUGUGGGGGGUGGGCGUCAUGCUGCAGUCGUCCUUUUGCACUGAAUUGUCCAUUGCUCUUUUCUACAUAACCUGAGGCAGAUGUUUUCAUUUUUGUGUGUGUGGUGUUGACAUUUACAUGCAUAUGUUUGUGCGAGCAUGUGUGCUCAGAGAUUCUCUUGAUCUGGCAGAUAAGGAAUGAGGAUGUUCUUUGGGCUGUGGUGGCUCUGUUGGACACAUCCUUGCCUGAUGUUGGCCCCAGAGACGUGCACAAAACAGUGCACUACCCUGGGAUACGUACUAUUAUUUUAUCACGGGACCAUGCAGAUGUUUUAGAGGACUAUAGGGGCAGGUCUUCCA